AACAAACGCUGGCGGCGUGCCUAACACAUGCAAGUCGAACGCGAAAAUCGGCUUCGGCCGAUGAGUAAAAGUGGCGCACGGGUGAGUAACGCGUGGAUAAUCUACCCUUCAGUUGGGAAUAACUUAUCGAAAGGUGAGCUAAUACCGAAUAAAACUGCCUGACCACGGUCGGGUAGUCAAAGAUAGCCUCUGCUUGCAAGCUUUCGCUGAAUGAUGAGUCCGCGUACCAUUAGCUAGUUGGUGGGGUAAUGGCCUACCAAGGCGACGAUGGUUAGCUGGUCUGAGAGGAUGAUCAGCCACAACUGGAACUGAGACACGGUCCAGACUCCUACGGGAGGCAGCAGUGAGGAAUCUUGCGCAAUGGGGGAAACCCUGACGCAGCAACGCCGCGUGAGUGAGGAAGGUCUUCGGAUCGUAAAGCGUCUGUCGGGUGGAAAGAAUGUAUGGGGUUAAUAGCCUUAUACUUGACGGUUACCACCAAAGGAAGCGACCGGCUAACUCCGU
rnacentral:rRNA from 1 species